rnacentral:miRNA from 1 species
ACUUUUAAAAUCGGUUAUUUAAGAACCAAUUUUAUAUACUACAUACAAAAUCAGUUCUUAAGUAACCAGUUUUAAAAGU